CCAGACUCCUACGGGAGGCAGCAGUGGGGAAUAUUGCACAAUGGGGGAAACCCUGAUGCAGCGACGCCGCGUGAGCGAUGAAGUAUUUCGGUAUGUAAAGCUCUAUCAGCAGGGAAGAAAAUGACGGUACCUGACUAAGAAGCCCCGGCUAACUACGUGCCAGCAGCCGCGGUAAUACGUAGGGGGCAAGCGUUAUCCGGAUUUACUGGGUGUAAAGGGAGCGUAGACGGUUCUGCAAGCCAGAUGUGAAAGCCCGGGGCUCAACCCCGGGACUGCAUUUGGAACUGUAAGGCUAGAGUGGCGGAGAGGCAGGCGGAAUUCCUAGUGUAGCGGUGAAAUGCGUAGAUAUUAGGAGGAACACCAGUGGCGAAGGCGGUCUGCUGGACAGCAACUGACGCUGAGGCGCGAAAGCGUGGGGAGCAAACAGGAUUAGAUACCCUGGUAC
rnacentral:rRNA from 1 species